rfam:Legionella sp. 40-6 scnpilot_expt_750_p_scaffold_2952, whole genome shotgun sequence.
GUGGCUGGACGUUCAAGUCGGGAAACCCUUCACGGAUAAUCUGCUUUUCAGCAGGGUAAGCUACUUAAACACUUACUGUCA